AUUGAACGCUGGCGGCAUGCUUUACACAUGCAAAUCGAACGGUAACAGGCCGCAAGGUGCUGACGAGUGGCGAACGGGUGAGUAAUGCAUCGGAACGUGCCCAGUCGUGGGGGAUAACGCAGCGAAAGCUGCGCUAAUACCGCAUACGAUCUAUGGAUGAAAGCGGGGGACCGUAAGGCCUCGCGCGAUUGGAGCGGCCGAUGUCAGAGUAGGUAGUUGGUGGGGUAAAGGCUCACCAAGCCAACGAUCUGUAGCUGGUCUGAGAGGACGACCAGCCACACUGGGACUGAGACACGGCCCAGACUCCUACGGGAAGCAGCAGUGGGGAAUUUUGGACAAUGGGCGCAAGCCUGAUCCAGCAAUGCCGCGUGCAGGAAGAAGGCCUUCGGGUUGUAAACUGCUUUUGUACGGAACGAAAAGGCUCUGGAUAAUACCUGGGGCUCAUGACGGUACCGUAAGAAUAAGCACCGGCUAACUCUGUGCCAGCAGCCGCCGUAAGAC
rnacentral:rRNA from 1 species